AUUGAACGCUGGCGGCAGGCCUAACACAUGCAAGUCGAGCGGAUGAAGGGAGCUUGCUCCUGGAUUCAGCGGCGGACGGGUGAGUAAUGCCUAGGAAUCUGCCUGGUAGUGGGGGAUAACGUCCGGAAACGGGCGCUAAUACCGCAUAUGUCCUGAGGGAGAAAGUGGGGGAUCUUCGGACCUCACGCUAUCAGAUGAGCCUAGGUCGGAUUAGCUAGUUGGUGGGGUAAAGGCCUACCAAGGCGACGAUCCGUAACUGGUCUGAGAGGAUGAUCAGUCACACUGGAACUGAGAUACGGUCCAGACUCCUACGGGAGGCAGCAGUGGGGAAUAUUGGACAAUGGGCGAAAGCCUGAUCCAGCCAUGCCGCGUGUGUGAAGAAGGUCUUCGGAUUGUAAAGCACUUUAAGUUGGGAGGAAGGGCAGUAAGUUAAUACCUUGCUGUUUUGACGUUACCAACAGAAUAAGCACCGGCUAACUUCGUG
rnacentral:rRNA from 1 species